rnacentral:rRNA from 1 species
UUGAAUGCUAAGAGAAUGGAUUAAUACAAAAUUUAUUUUAUUUAAUUUAAAAUUAAAAUUUUAUUUAAAAAUUAAAAAGUUUUUAUACAUUUGAGGGACAAGAAGACCCUAUGAAUUUUAAUUUAUUGAUCUAUUAAUAAAACAUAAUAAAUCAAUAAAUUUAAUUGGGGCAAUUAAAAUAUAUUAAAAAACUUUAAUUUUAAGAUUUUUUUAAACAUUAAUAAAAAAAUACUCUAGGGUUAACAGCGUUAUUAUU